rnacentral:rRNA from 1 species
AUUGAACGCUGGCGGCAGGCCUAACACAUGCAAGUCGAGCGGAUGAAGGGAGCUUGCUCCUGGAUUCAGCGGCGGACGGGUGAGUAAUGCCUAGGAAUCUGCCUGGUAGUGGGGGAUAACGUCCGGAAACGGGCGCUAAUACCGCAUACGUCCUGAGGGAGAAAGUGGGGGAUCUUCGGACCUCACGCUAUCAGAUGAGCCUAGGUCGGAUUAGCUAGUUGGUGGGGUAAAGGCCUACCAAGGCGACGAUCCGUAACUGGUCUGAGAGGAUGAUCAGUCACACUGGAACUGAGACACGGUCCAGACUCCUACGGGAGGCAGCAGCGGGGAAUAUUGGACAAUGGGCGAAAGCCUGAUCCAGCCAUGCCGCGUGGGUGAAGAAGGUCUUCGGAUUGUAAAGCACUUUAAGUUGGGAGGAAGGGCAGUAAGUUAAUACCUUGCUGUUUUGACGUGACCAACAGAAUAAGCACCGGCUAACUUCGU